CCGGAGCUCCUGGAACUUCCGCUG
rnacentral:miRNA from 1 species